rnacentral:rRNA from 1 species
GACGUAGGGCGCGAGCGUUGUCCGGAUUUAUUGGGCGUAAAGAGCUCGUAGGCGGCUUGUUGCGUCGGCUGUGAAAACCCGUGGCUUAACUGCGGGCUUGCAGCUGAUACGGGCGGGCUAGAGUUCGGUAGGGGAGACUGGAAUUCCUGGUGUAGCGGUGAAAUGCGCAGAUAUCAGGAGGAACACCGGUGGCGGAAGGCGGGUCUCCUGGACAAGUUCCUGACACUGAGACACGAAGGCCCAGGGGAGCAAACGGGG